rnacentral:rRNA from 1 species
UACGUAGGGUGCAAGCGUUAAUCGGAAUUACUGGGCGUAAAGCGUGCGCAGGCGGUUUUGUAAGUCUGUCGUGAAAUCCCCGGGCUCAACCUGGGAAUUGCGAUGGAGACUGCAAGGCUAGAAUCUGGCAGAGGGGGGUAGAAUUCCACGUGUGAGCAGUGAAAUGCGUAGAGAUGUGGAGGAACACCGGAUGGCGAAGGCAAUCCCCCUGGACCUGUACUGACGCUCAUGCACGAAAGCGUGGGGAGCAAACAAGG